rnacentral:rRNA from 1 species
UAAGGAAUAUUGGUCAAUGGACGAAAGUCUGAACCAGCCAUCCCGCGUGCAGGAAGAAGGGGCUCUGCCUUGUAAACUGCUUUUGAAUGGGACGAAAGAGCUAUAUGCGUAUAGUGUUGACGGUACCAUUAGAAUAAGCACCGGCUAACUCUGUGCCAGCAGCCGCGGUAAGACAGAGGCCACGAACGUUGUUCGGAAUCACUGGGCAUAAAGCGCACGUAGGCGGCUAGGUCCGUCCGAUGUGAAAGCCCCCGGCUCAACCGGGGAAUUGCAUCGGAUACAGCCUGGCUUGAGGACGGUUGGGGUGAGUGGAACUCCUGGUGGAGCGGUGAAAUGCGUAGAUAUCAGGAGGAACACCGGUGGCGAAAGCGGCUCACUGGACCGUUACUGACGCUGAGGUGCGAAAGCUAGGGGAGCAAACGGGAUUAGAUACCCUAGUAGUCCCUGAGCGGGCUGGCAAGGCGCAU